rnacentral:rRNA from 1 species
GAGCGGCGGACGGGUGAGUAAUGCCUAGGAAUCUGCCUGGUAGUGGGGGAUAACGUUCGGAAACGGACGCUAAUACCGCAUACGUCCUACGGGAGAAAGCAGGGGACCUUCGGGCCUUGCGCUAUCAGAUGAGCCUAGGUCGGAUUAGCUAGUUGGUGAGGUAAUGGCUCACCAAGGCAACGAUCCGUAACUGGUCUGAGAGGAUGAUCAGUCACACUGGAACUGAGACACGGUCCAGACUCCUACGGGAGGCAGCAGUGGGGAAUAUUGGACAAUGGGCGAAAGCCUGAUCCAGCCAUGCCGCGUGUGUGAAGAAGGUCUUCGGAUUGUAAAGCACUUUUUGGAGGGAUGAGGAAGGACAGUACCUCCAGAAUAAGCCUCGGCUAACUACGUGCCAGCAGCCGCGGUAACACGUAGGAGGCAAGCGUUAUUCGGAUUUACUGGGCGUAAAGCGCGUGCAGGCGGUUUGGAAAGUUGGAUGUGAAAGCUCCUGGCUCAACUGGGAGAGGUCGUUCAAUACUUCCAGACUUGAGAGUGGUAGAGGGAGGUGGAAUUCCGGGUGUAGUGGUGAAAUGCGUAGAUAUCCGGAGGAACACCAGUGGCGAAAGCGGCCUCCUGGACCACUUCUGACGCUCAGACGCGAAAGCUAGGGUAGCAAACGAGAUUAGAGACCCCGGUAGUCCUAGCCGUAAACGAUGUGGAACUUGGCGUUGAUGGGUUUAAAUCCAUCAGUGCCGAAGCUAACGCGAUAAGUUCACCGCCUGGGGACUACGGCCGCAAGGUUAAAACUCAAAGGAAUUGACGGGGCCCCGCACAAGCAGCGGAGCGUGUGGUUUAAUUCGAUGCUACACGAAGAACCUUACCAGGGUUUGACAUGCAAGUGGUAGAGAAGCGAAAGCAGAUCGACCCCUCGGGGAGCUUGCACAGGUGCUGCAUGGCUGUCGUCAGCUCGUGUCGUGAGAUGUUCGGUUAAGUCCGCUAACGAGCGCAACCCCUGCCAUAUGUUACAUGUGUCAUAUGGGACUGCCGGUCUCAAACCGGAGGAAGGUGGGGAUGACGUCAAGUCAGCAUGGCCUUUAUAUCCUGGGCUACACACACGCUACAAUGGCCGGUACAAUAGGUUGCUAAAUCGCGAGAUGGAGCCAAUCCCCAAAACCGGCCUCAGUUCAGAUAAUAGGCUGCAACCCGCCUGCAUGAAGCCGGAGUUGCUAGUAACCGCAGGUCAGCCAUACUGCG